rnacentral:rRNA from 1 species
GACGAACGCUGGCGGCGUGCUUAACACAUGCAAGUCGAACGGAGCGAAUGAAAGCUUGCUUUUAUAAGCUUAGUGGCAGACGGGUGAGUAACACGUAGACAACCUGCCGACAGGAUGGGGACAACAUUCCGAAAGGAAUGCUAAUACCGAAUGAAGCGCAGGAGAGGCAUCUCUCCUGCGUGAAAGAUGGCCUCUGAAUAUGCUAUCACCUGUUGAUGGGUCUGCGUCUGAUUAGCUGGUAGGUGAGGUAACGGCUCACCUAGGCGACGAUCAGUAGCCGGUCUGAGAGGAUGAACGGCCACAUUGGGACUGAGACACGGCCCAGACUCCUACGGGAGGCAGCAGUGGGGAAUCUUCCGCAAUGGGCGCAAGCCUGACGGAGCAACGCCGCGUGAGUGAAGAAGGUCUUCGGAUCGUAAAGCUCUGUUGAUGGGGACGAACGUGCCUAAUGCGAAUAGUAUUAGG